rnacentral:tRNA from 1 species
AGCUUUUUAGUUUAAAAAAAACAUUAAUUUUGUAAAUUAAAUUUAUUGUAAUCAAUUUAAGCUA